rnacentral:rRNA from 1 species
CUCCGGCGGCACAGGAUGGGUCUGCGGCGUAUCAGGUUGUAGGGGGUGUAAAGGACCCUCUAGCCAUUGACGCGUACGGGUUGUGGGAGCAAUCGCCCGGAGAUGGAUUCUGAGACACGAAUCCAGACCCUACGGGGUGCAGCAGGCGCGGAAACUUCACACUGCGGGAAACCGUGAUGAGGGAACUCCAAGUGUUUGCACUAUGUGCAAUCUUUUCUUGACUUUUAAUAGGUCUUGGUAAUAAGGGGUGGGAAAGACCGGUGCCAGCCGCCGCGGUAAUACCGGCACCCCAAGUGGUCGUCGCUUUUAUUGGGCCUAAAACGUCCGUAGCCUGUUUGGUAAACCCGUGGGUAAAUCAACAUGCUCAACAUGUUGACUUCUGCGGAGACUGCCAGACUAGGGACCGGGAGAGGUGUGGGGUACUCAUGGGGUAGGGGUAAAAUCCUGUCAUCCCAUGAGGACCACCUGUUGCGAAGGCGCCACACUGGAACGGAUCCGACGGUCAGGGACGAAGCCUAGGGGCACGAACCGGAUUAGAUACCCGGGUAGUCCUAGGUGUAAACGCUGUGGACUUGGUGUUGGGGAUCCGACAUGGGUCUCCAGUGCCGCAGCGAAGGUGUUAAGUCCACUGCCUGGGGAGUACGGUCGCAAGGCUGAAACUUAAAGGAAUUGGCGGGGGAGCACUGCAACGGGAGGAGCGUGCGGUUUAAUUGGACUCAACGCCGGGA